rnacentral:rRNA from 1 species
AGCGUCGUCUAGAGUUUGAUCAUGGCUCAGAUUGAACGCUGGCGGCACGCCUUACACAUGCAAGUCGAACGGUAACAGGUUAAGCUGACGAGUGGCGAACGGGUGAGUAAUAUAUCGGAACGUGCCCAGUAGUGGGGGAUAGCCCGGCGAAAGCCGGAUUAAUACCGCAUACGACCUACGGGUGAAAGCGGGGAGUCGCAAGACCUCGCGCUAUUGGAGCGGCCGAUAUCAGAUUAGCUAGUUGGUGGGGUAAAAGCUCACCAAGGCGACGAUCUGUAGCUGGUCUGAGAGGACGACCAGCCACACUGGGACUGAGACACGGCCCAGGCUCCUACGGGAGGCAGCAGUGGGGAAUUUUGGAUAAUGGACGCAAGUCUGAUCCAGCCAUGCCGCGUGCGGGAAGAAGGCCUUCGGGUUGUAAACCGCUUUUGUCAGGGAAGGAAAAGCUACCGACUAAUAUUUUGGGGUGAUGACGGUACCUGAAGAAUAAUGGCACCGCUAACUACGUGCCAGCAGCCGCGGUAAU